GAGAGAAUCUGUCUCUUUUCCAUUGAGGCCAUCAGUUCCUAUCCUCUAAAGAGAAGGGCACGACUGCAGGUGCCAGGGAUACAAGAGUGACUGAGAGAGAGGGGGCCCUCCCCUUGUGCAGCCUCACUCCAGAAGGGAAACAACCUGAGUCUCUGGAAGACGACGCUCUACACCGCGUUGUGUAACCCGCCCCGGGAAUCACGUUGCACAGACAAGUCCCACCGGAUUUUACUGCAAUAAUAAGCUUGAUCUUCUUAUUCAAACACAAGUAACAACCACAGCCGGCUCCAAGUCACGUGUCGAGGUCACAUGGCACUCAGAGGCAGAAGCCGACUGGUAAUCAUUAGCCAAUGCUUACUACCAGGGAGAAAAUCCCGGCUUUAAAGACACGAACUCAGUUUUCAGAAAACAAACAGGACUGCAAGAGAAGGCAUUUGAUGUGGGGGGUAGGGUGUCAUUCUUGUUAAGUGCUUUCCAAGCAAAGGAAAAGAGCCAACACACACUCCCUCCUUUCGCUCUUCUCCCAGAACUUUCCAAACUCGCCCAGCCUAGCCGCCUUUUCCAAACCUGGAGGAGUCCUGGGCUGCAGCAUCCCCAGCUCAGGCCUGGGAGCGAGAGGGAGGGGUGGGCUGACUUGGCUGUGGGUCCUAGCCCUUGGGAAAUGGAGGGCUGAAUUCAGAGCUGAAUUUAGUAGAAAGCCAAAAUUUCUCUUCCUUAUGAAAUUAAUGCUUCUGGGUUGAUGGGGUUUGGGGAGAGGUGAGGGGUGAGAAGAAGCACUGUGAGCCAUGGGGUCCGUCUGGACUUUUUGUUAACAUGAAAAACAACAUCCAGAAUGUGGCUCCUUUAGGUUUUUCUGUGGUAAGAACAGAAACCGUAAGGGCUCUGCCUACCUGAAUGUUUCCUUGAUCAGCCGUUUGAAUUUAGAAAGAAGUUAUUUCACUUUCUCUAACUUGUAUAGUGUUACUUCGUGCUUUCAAAAACUGCAAUGAUCGAACUGAGUUUGUUUAAUUUGGUGUGGAAGUGACAAUAGUGGGUGUCAAUGAAGAAUCUGGAAUCUGCUGGAGGGAAGGGGAAGGUAAAGUACAGAUAAAAGGCUUUAGCAGAAAGUUGACAGCAUUUUUUUAAAAAUCUAGGUGUGUUUUAUUUCACAUUGCACAGAAAGUACUUUACCCAAACACUGCAGUACAGAUGCAGCCUUACAAGAAAAUCUACUGGUGUAGUCUGGAGUCUUAAUCCUAUUUCAUUUAGCUCUUUUCAGAAAGAACAAACAUACAAAGAAUUUCACUGUGUCACUGAAAUAUAACUGUUUCAUGAAGUUUAAUUAGGAAGUUUGGUUUUCUCCCUCUUCAUCUUUUUCUCCAUCUUACCCUCUUCAAAAAGCUAAAAUA